CUUUCUUCCUUUCUUUCUCGGAUUAUGAUGCAUGUGUUUUUUAGUCAGAUUUGUUUUCCUCUUUUUGUUUUUCAGUUUGCAGUAGAGAAAUGACACUUUUUCUUUUCUGUUUCUGUGACAACCCGGUCAUCUUUCCUCCUCUGUAGGUUUAUUAUUCUCUCUAUCCCUCCCUCCCUUGAUUUGGUGAUCAGGCAUUGGUUUGAUGAUCAGGUCUUGGUUUGAUGAUCAGGUCUUGGUUUGAUGAUCAGGUCUUGGUUUGGUGAUCAGGUCUUGGUUUGAUGAUCAGGUCUUGGUUUGGUGAUCAGGUCUUGGUUUGAUGAUCAGGUCUUGGUUUGGUGAUCAGGUCUUGGUUUGGUGAUCAGGUCUUGGUUUGAUGAUCA
ensembl:lncRNA